rnacentral:rRNA from 1 species
GUACGGGGGGGGCAAGCGUUGUUCGGAAUUACUGGGCGUAAAGGGCGCGUAGGCGGCCUGCUAAGUCGAACGUGAAAUCCCUGGGCUCAACCCAGGAACUGCGUCCGAUACUGGUUGGCUUGAAUCCGGGAGAGGGAUGUGGAAUUCCAGGUGUAGCGGUGAAAUGCGUAGAUAUCUGGAGGAACACCGGUGGCGAAGGCGACAUCCUGGACCGGUAUUGACGCUGAGGCGCGAAAGCCAGGGGAGCAAACGGG